CCGCAUUCCCCGCCCCGCCCCGCGCCGCCGGCCCGGCUCGGGCGGGAGUCUCGCCGCGGUCCCGGUUGGGGCCGGGAGCUCCGCGCGCUCCCGCGGUGCCCGGCGGGCGGCGGCGCGGUGCAUGCCGGGCCCGGGGCGGACCGUCCCCGCGCUGCGCCAGGAGCCGCGAGCCGCGCCCGCCGCCAUGUUCCGCCGGGCCGCCGCCGCCCGGCGCCUGUAGCCGCCCCCGCCCGCCCCGCCGCGCCCCGCCAGCCGCCGGCGGAGGGGCGGACGAAGGCGCUGCCGCGCCCAGCAGCCGCCGCCGGAGCCCGGCAGCGCCCAGCGAUGUCCGCCAAGGAGGGGAGCAAGGUGCUGCUGCUGACGCCCCACGCCACCAGCGAGCGCGCCGUCAAGGCUGUCCCUUUUCCACCAACGCAUCGCUUGACAUCUGAAGAAGUGUUUGACACAGAUGGAAGACCAAGGGUUGACAUUUUGAAAAACCACUUGAUAAAGGAAGGUCGAGUGGAUGAAGAAAUCGCACUUAGAAUCAUCAAUGAGGGUGCUGCAAUAUUACGGAGGGAAAAAACUAUGAUAGAAGUUGAAGCUCCAAUUACAGUGUGUGGUGAUAUUCAUGGCCAGUUCUUUGAUCUAAUGAAGCUGUUUGAAGUGGGAGGAUCACCUGCUAACACAAGAUACCUCUUCCUCGGUGACUAUGUAGACAGAGGUUAUUUUAGUAUAGAGUGCGUGCUGUACUUAUGGGUCCUGAAAAUUCUUUACCCAAGCACAUUGUUUCUUUUGAGAGGCAACCAUGAAUGCAGACACCUAACAGAGUAUUUUACCUUUAAGCAAGAAUGUAAAAUAAAGUACUCUGAGAGAGUCUAUGAUGCUUGUAUGGAAGCUUUUGAUUGUCUCCCUCUUGCUGCUCUCUUAAAUCAACAAUUUCUUUGUGUUCAUGGUGGACUUUCACCAGAAAUUAACACACUAGAUGACAUUAGGAGAUUAGAUAGAUUCAAAGAGCCUCCAGCCUUUGGACCAAUGUGUGACUUAUUGUGGUCAGAUCCUUCAGAAGAUUUUGGAAAUGAAAAUUCACCAGAGCAUUUCAGUCAUAAUACAGUCAGAGGCUGCUCAUACUUUUAUAGCUAUCCAGCAGUUUGUGAAUUUUUGCAAAAUAAUAAUUUGUUGUCAAUCAUUAGAGCACAUGAAGCACAAGAUGCAGGUUAUAGAAUGUACAGGAAAAGUCAAACUACAGGGUUCCCAUCUUUAAUAACAAUUUUUUCAGCACCUAAUUACCUGGAUGUCUACAAUAAUAAAGCUGCUGUAUUAAAAUAUGAAAACAAUGUGAUGAAUAUUCGUCAGUUCAAUUGUUCUCCUCAUCCUUACUGGCUACCAAAUUUUAUGGAUGUUUUCACAUGGUCUUUGCCAUUUGUUGGAGAAAAAGUAACAGAAAUGUUGGUGAAUGUUUUGAGCAUUUGCUCUGAUGAUGAGCUGAUGACAGAGGGCGAAGAUCAAUUUGACGUAGGUACAGCUGCCGCAAGGAAAGAAAUAAUCAGAAACAAAAUUCGUGCAAUUGGCAAGAUGGCAAGAGUCUUCUCUGUUCUCAGGGAGGAGAGUGAAAGUGUGCUGACACUCAAGGGUUUGACUCCCACUGGAAUGUUACCUAGUGGAGUGUUGGCUGGAGGACGACAGACCCUGCAAAGUGCCACUGUAGAGGCAAUUGAGGCUGAAAAAGCAAUACGAGGAUUCUCUCCGCAACAUAAAAUCUGCAGUUUUGAAGAAGCAAAAGGUUUGGAUAGGAUCAAUGAGAGAAUGCCACCAAGAAAAGAUGCUCUUCAGCAAGAUGGUAUUAAUACUAUAAACACAGCAAAUGCCAAUGGAAACAAUGGAACUGGCAACAACAAUGCACAGUGACCACAUCAGCUUCUGGUUUACUCCCUCAUGUCCUGCCUGAGAAUUCCUAAUUACUGCUUUUUGAUGUGACAACAAAUGAAAUAGGGGGAUCGCUUGAAGUGACUACUUAACACGAGGUGGAAAACCAUCUGACUUGAUCCCACUGAAGAGAGACCAUCAUGCUUUUGAGACAACAGCCCCUGUCUCACACGGUGACCCAACCUCUGGGAGCGUGUGCCUCACCCUUUCACACAAACAUCCAGCACUGGCUGCUGCAGCUGCAGAGAGAUCUGGGGAAAGGAUCGGACUGUUCUCACUAAAGCACACCUAGACUAGCAUCUUACGCUUACCUUGGCAACACUUUUAAGUUUACAAAUGGGAUUUUUCUUUCAGUAGAGAUGCAUUCUAAUUGGAAAUUCUUCUCAGAAUUUGAGUCCAGAAGAUCAAGUUAAAAAUGGUGGAAUCUGCAGCUGUCUCUAAUUCUUAAAUUGUUUGGGAGAAGAAAUUAUUUCCUUACUCCCAGAAAACUGCUUCAAGUUGCAAAGACUCUUCCCAAACGAACUAAUGAAUUAUCUUACUGAAUAUGCACACCUGAAAUAUGUCAGGUUUCCCUCCUACUUUAUUUAGAAGUUGCUUAUUUCAAGUAAGAAUAUCUCCAGAAAGCACUUACUACACUUGUGUCAGUAGGGCUUAUAUGACAUUUUAUGUGCUUUGGUGCUUGUUUUGGCAUUUUGCUGCCCAGUGCAUGGAUGGAUACUGCUAAACAUACUGGCUGAGCAGGCUGAAUACAUUCUCUCCAAUACUGUUGUAUCAAUAGAGGUUAAUAUACUAUUUAAAUGAUGUGGUUGUCAGUUAUUGUAAACUACUGGAUUCAUCAAAAUAAAAAUUAGCAGCAUGAGCUUCUCCAGGUUUGCUUUCUUGUGGAUUUUGACCUUUAACCAGACAUCUAGAGCAUAGCUGAACUCUUACAAAGGUAGAAGCCAAUGAGAUAGAGAAGUGUUAUAGAAAUUCUAACAGAAAUAAGCAAAUUGAUCAGAGAAAUGUGGGAAGUUGCAUUAGUUACAUUAUUUCUUCUUAAAUGUGUGUAAUUGCAAGUUGUUAUUCUUCAGCACAAAAUGAGCCCUAUUAAAUGAUAAGGGAUAAACCAGCCCCAGUGCUCAUCUGAGCUCAACAGCAGCACCUCCCUGCCACUGGUGAUAUGAAGAGAAGGCAGGCUGUGGAGUAAUCUGGGGGAGAGGCACAUCUUAUCUUGUCUGUAGGGAUUCUCACAAGCAUUCUACAGACCACAGAGGUUAUCCAAUCAGCUUCACCCAGAUUACAUUGUUAACAUGCAAAAAGUAAAAAGCAUCUUGCUCUAACAGCAGUGUAGAGCACUGUUUUAGGGAACCACCUGGUUGUAUCUGCACAGUAUUUCCACAUAAGUUCUCAUAUUAUUUGAGGGUGCUAAAUUAGGUCACACAAUUCAUCAUGGAUUUGUAGAUAAGAAGCAUCUCUUGAGGAAGGACUCAAGUGUCACAUCUUAGGGAAUAAAUUCAUGACCAUGGGCUAGUUUCUUAAAACCUGCCUCUUGCUAAGCACACACAGGCUAUUUAUGGAGCCAUUAUGACUAAACACGACAGACUG